rnacentral:rRNA from 1 species
AAUAGAUACCCUGGUAGUCCACGCCGUAAACGAUGGAUGCUAGCUAUUGGGGGAAUCGACCCCCUCCGAAGCGAAGCUAACGCGUUAAGCAUCCCGCCUGAGUAGUACGAGCGCAAGCUUAAAACUCAAAGGAAUUGACGGGGACCCGCACAAGCGGUGGAGCGUGUGGUUUAAUUCGAUGGUAAACGAAGAACCUUACCAAGGUUUGACAUCCCGGUAGCCGUUCUCCGAAAGGAGAAUUUCAUUUAGUUGGACCGGUGACAGGUGAUGCAUGGCCGUCGUCAGCUCGUGUCGUGAGAUGUUGGGUUAAGUCCCGCAACGAGCGCAACCCUUAUGAUUUAGUUGGAUUUUUCUAAACAGACUGCCCUGGUAACAGGGAGGAAGGAGGGGAUGAUGUCAGGUCAGUAUUUCCCUUACACCUUGGGCGACACACGCGCUACAAUGGCCGGUACAAUGGGCAGCUAAGCCGCGAGGUGGAGCAAAUCCCAUCAAAGCCGGUCCCAGUUCGGAUUGCAGGCUGAAACCCGCCUGCAUGAAGCCGGAAUCGCUAGUAACCG